rnacentral:siRNA from 1 species
UUGGGCCUUCGAGAAUUUCUG